rnacentral:rRNA from 1 species
GUACCUACGGGGCGCAGCAGUGGGGAAUAUUGGACAAUGGGGGGAACCCCGAUCCAGCGACGCCGCGUGAGUGAAGAAGUAUUUCGGUAUGUAAAGCUCUAUCAGCCGGGAAGACAAUGACGGUACCUGACUAAGAAGCCCCGGCUAACUACGUGCCAGCAGCCGCGGUAAUACUUCGGUGGCAAGCGUUAUCCGGAUUUACUUGGUGUAAAGUGAUCGUAGACGGUGCAGCAAGUCUUAUUU